AAGGGCCCGCAGGGCCUCCAGUAGCAAAGCCACUGGCCCCGCGUCCCCGCGUCCCCCUGCGCCGCGCCCCGGGGCGCAGGCAGGGACCACGCGGCCGGCGUGGGGGCGGCGCCACCCGCAGCAGAAAGCCCCGGCGUGGACCGCGUGGCGUAGGAAAGCGCUCCCCUCGCCCCCAGCCGCAGAGGGCUUGGGCAGCAUCGGGCGCGGCCCCGGGAGAGUGCGUCCGCGGCGCCAGCGGCUGCAGGGUGACCUGUUUCGGGCGGGGACACUCACCAGAAGA
rnacentral:lncRNA from 1 species